GGGCGGAUAGCUCAGUUGGUAGAGCAACGGACUGAAAAUCCGUGUGUCGCCGGUUCAACUCCGGCUCUGCCCACCA
rnacentral:tRNA from 1 species